AACGAACGCUGGCGGUAUGCCUAAUACAUGCAAGUCGAACGAGAUCUUCGGAUCUAGUGGCGCACGGGUGCGUAACGCGUGGGAAUCUGCCCUUGGGUUCGGAAUAACUUCUGGAAACGGAAGCUAAUACCGGAUGAUGACGUAAGUCCAAAGAUUUAUCGCCCAAGGAUGAGCCCGCGUAGGAUUAGCUAGUUGGUGGGGUAAAGGCCCACCAAGGCGACGAUCCUUAGCUGGUCUGAGAGGAUGAUCAGCCACACUGGGACUGAGACACGGCCCAGACUCCUACGGGAAGCAGCAGUAGGGAAUAUUGGACAAUGGGCGAAAGCCUGAUCCAGCAAUGCCGCGUGAGUGAUGAAGGCCUUAGGGUUGUAAAGCUCUUUUACCCGGGAUGAUAAUGACAGUACCGGGAGAAUAAGCGCCGGCUAACUCCGUG
rnacentral:rRNA from 1 species